CCUACGGGUGGCAGCAGUAGGGAAUCUUCCGCAAUGGGCGAAAGCUUGACGGAGCAACGCCGCGUGAGUGAUGAAGGUCUUCGGAUCGUAAAACUCUGUUAUUAGGGAAGAACAAAUGUGUAAGUAACUAUGCACGUCUUGACGGUACCUAAUCAGAAAGCCAUGGCUAACUACGUGCCAGCAGCCGCGGUAAUACGUAGGUGGCAAGCGUUAUCCGGAAUUAUUGGGCGUAAAGCGCGCGUAGGCGGUUUUUUAAGUCUGAUGUGAAAGCCCACGGCUCAACCGUGGAGGGUCAUUGGAAACUGGAAAACUUGAGUGCAGAAGAGGAAAGUGGAAUUCCAUGUGUAGCGGUGAAAUGCGCAGAGAUAUGGAGGAACACCAGUGGCGAAGGCGACUUUCUGGUCUGUAACUGACGCUGAUGUGCGAAAGCGUGGGGAUCAAACAGGAUUAGAUACCCGGGUAGUC
rnacentral:rRNA from 1 species